UACCAUUUUAUUUUUCAAGUAUGUUCCUUGUGUACUUUGCCAAAUGUGAUGUUUAAUUUGCUGUGCACAACACAAAGGAAUGGAGACUGCAUUGUGAUGAAUGGUAGUAUCAGGGGGGCUAAUGAGGGCACGCACAUAAGCGUGUACUCCGUAAGGUACGUUUGUUCUGGUAAUCUAUGUAAGCUUUGAUCACCUGGGUGCUACUUUCUCCGACUAUCGUGGAUAUCUUAGCAACCCAGCGAUAUAUAUUUUAUUGACCUAAAUAAGCCACUUCGAAACUUUUCCAAAAAAAGCCACUUCGAAACUUGCUGCUUUGAUUUGUAUUUUGAGUCAUUGACAUAUUUGUUUCCCCGCUUGAUGCUGAAUCCAAGCCACCAUAAAUAUGCGUUGUAGAACUGAUACGCCUCCUGCUCGGAUAUUUUUUUUUUGGAACAAAGGCAAAAGACUUGCCAUUUCAUUGAUUAAGUCAAUAGCUGGUUCGAAAACAACUGUUUCCCAAGUUUUGAUGCUUCUUCAAUUGCACGCUCUAUAGCACUUCGAUAUCCUUCUAUUGGUGCCCAGAAAGAAUUGCUAGUUCUGUUUCUGUAAAGAAAAACAACAAGGCGGUGCAGCUUGUUAAUAUAUUUAAUAACAAUUAGUACUUCUGUCCUCAGCACAAAAGUCUAUAACUCGCGGAUGACUGAAAAGGAUGCUACUAAGAAUAAAGAGACAUUGGAGAAAUGAUCAUCUUACCAGUCGGUUGACUACUGCAAUGCUUCUUACUUCAUUUACCUAUCACCGUGAUUUACGAGGGAGAAAAGUCGGGGGAAAACGUAUCUGAAAAACGAUGCAGAAUUGCAGAUACUGGUAUUAAGAUGAUUAC
rnacentral:lncRNA from 1 species